GAGGUGUUUAGCUCCAGUGUGAGAGUUGGCCCAGAGUUAGCCACAGCUUGGCUUCAGUUUUGCAGGGCCAGCGUUCAGCAGAGUGAGCUAUGGGAAAAGCAGAGUGUAAGCAUGGGUUGCCGUGUUUGGCUGUACUAGCAUAGCUAGGUUUUGAUAGCGUGGCAUGUAUAUGUAUGAGAGCAGCUUGAUGUAUCUGUUUAUGCAAGAUGAUGUAAAGAUCUAAGGAUGAUAUGUUAUGUUAUGUUAUGUUAUGUUAUGUA